rnacentral:lncRNA from 1 species
CUUUCUCCUCUCCACACCACCCCUGCUUCUAUCUAUCUAUCUUUCUUUUUCUUCUUCCUUUGUUCCCUGCUUUUGGCCACUGCACCAUCUCUUCCUUUACCCACUGCUUCCAUCAUCACCGUACCAUCAAGAAGAAAUAGAGAACAGGCAAGCGCUACAGUAUGCUUAUCCUAUUUAUGUCCCUCCACCGUUUAUCUUUUAUCUUCUACCUCCCGUCUUCACCGUCUUAUUUUGUUUCCUACUUCAAACUUUGAUGAAACCAAACUCAUAAGCCUUCCACACACGUGCUUUCUAGUAAUUUUUGGGCGGUUUGGCCUAUGGGGGCAAGCUGAAUGGGGGUGUCAUCAAUGCCUUAAAUGACUUUAGUUUCUUCUUCUUCUUCUUCUUUCUCACCUAUCAGAAAUACAAAAAAU